UACGUAGGUGGCAAGCGUUGUCCGGAAUUAUUGGGCGUAAAGCGCGCGCAGGCGGGCCCUUAAGUCUGAUGUGAAAGCCCACGGCUCAACCGUGGAGGGUCAUUGGAAACUGGGGGACUUGAGUGCAGAAGAGGAAAGUGGAAUUCCAUGUGUAGCGGUGAAAUGCGUAGAGAUGUGGAGGAACACCAGUGGCGAAGGCGACUUUCUGGUCUGUAACUGACGCUGAGGCGCGAAAGCGUGGGGAGCAAACAGG
rnacentral:rRNA from 1 species